rnacentral:rRNA from 1 species
AGUGAACGCUGGCGGCGUGACUAACACAUGCAAGUCGAACGGAGGGGCGCACGGGUGAGUGAUGUAUAGCUAAUCUGCCCAAAACUAGAGGACAACAGCUGGAAACGGCUGCUAAUACUCUAUAGUGUAGGAUGAGGCGAUAUUGAAUCAGCUAGUUGGUGAGGUAAUGGCUCACCAAGGCUAUGACGCAUAACUGGUCUGAGAGGAUGAGCAGUCAAACUGGAACUGAGACACGGUCCAGACUCCGACGGGAGGCAGCAGUAGUGAAAAUUGCUCAAUGGGGUUGUACCUGAAGCAGCAACGCCGCGGGGAGGAUGACACUUAGCGGAGCGUAAACACCUUUUGUUAGGGAAGCGGUAUCUAACGAAUAAGCACCGGCUAACUCCGUGCCAGCAGCCGCGGUAAUAC